AAGUACAUCGUCGGCGGUGCCGAAGGGAAGAUGGGCCGCCAUCUCCGGUCCACCUUCGGACUUUAGCUAGGGAGCUCCACUGCGACGCGCAGUGCGUGGUGGUAUUGAGCCCGAGCGCGGUGGACUGCAGGAGUGACCGGAAUCCCUAACCAGAAUUGGAGAUCCACCAAGGAUCUGCGUGCUGCCACAGGUGGCCCUGCUGCCGCCUCCAUCGUCAGUGAGGUAUCAUGUCCCGUUUGUGCCAUCACUUCCUCUUGGUUUUGCAUCGGAUAUUGAGCAUGUGGAGCACGGGGCAUCAGGUUGUGUGCGUGCUCGUCGGCAAGCACCACCGCGAGCUCUACGCCGCCAUGUUUUCGUGUCUGGGGUAGGUGAGGGGAGAGGAGGGUGCUCUGAUCGUUGAUCUAUCAGUCUACGGACAAGAUCAUAUCACAGUAAAAAGGUUCGGUGACAUCAAAUCGAGUCCAUCGGAGCUUUGGCAGAGGGUCACGAUUAAAUUUCUUGCCUACCGUUUCGGAUGGGGGGAUCACAGCGGUAGAUCAGAACAUGGAGGGUUGACUGGCAAGCUCGGUGCUUUAAUAUCUAGAGCGUUGAUCCUCAAUCCGAUGGCUUAUGUUUCAUACCGGUUCGAGUCAGGUAGAGUCUAAUCCAAGCCGUUUAUAGGCGAUCUCACAGUCGUCCUGUGAAAAUACCCCUUCGCAGUCUUAAUUUGCUUAAGAGCCCCUAUCCUUUCCCAUAUAAACCCGUCGUCCACGGAUAGGUAAAGACCAUUACAUCCAGGUCCCAUAAUUUUGUAAAACAACCACUAACUUUAUAAAGAAAUUCUAGAAAUUGAUUUAUAAUAUAAAAAUAAAUAUAUAGGGUUACAAAAAUCAUAUCUUCCGUGUUUUAGCUCUAUUUUAACAUAUUCGAGUUGCGUUAACUUGAUGAUAAUAUUUUUUACACAGUAACAACAUUAAUUGUACCCUAUUAAAUAUUUAUUAGCAGAUUAAUCUUGUUAAUCGAAGUUAAUCUAUCUAUAAUUAUAAUCUGACUGAAAUAUAAUCUAUGAUCAAGUCAUAACUUAGAUUAAAGAUGAAUUAGUUAUUUCUUUAAAUAUAUUUUUCUCAUAUGAUUUACAUUAAUCAACAUAGCAUAUAGUUUUUAUCAUGAAAAUCUUCUGAAAACCAAAUCUUUUUAACCGUAACUCCGAUUUUAGUGGUUCUCGAACCUACGGUCUCGUAGCGACACAUAGAAUAUUAUUACGCUGUUUGUUCCCAUGUUUGGUGUAAUGUUGUCGGGGACCAUAAUUAGGGGUACCCUCAAGACUCCUAAUUCUCAGCUGGUAACCCCCAUCAGCAUAAAGCUGCAAAGGCCUGAUGGGUGCGAUUAAGUCAGGGAUCAGUCCAUUCGAGCGACUCGAUCAUGCCUCGCCCGAGCCUAGCCUCGGACAAGGGCAGCCGACCCCGGGGGAUUUCCGUCUCGCCAGAGGCCCCCCUCCAACGGCGGAUAAAUCUCCGGCUCGCCCGAGGCCCUGCCUUCGCUAAGAAGCAACCCUGACUAAAUCGCCGCACCGACCGACCGAAUCGCAGGAGCACUUAACGCAAAGGUGGCCUGACACCUUUGUCCUGACGCACGCCCCCCGACAGAGCCGAAGUGACCGCCGUCACUUCGCCGCUCCACUAACCGGCCUGACAGAAGGACAGCGCCGCCUGCGCCACUCCGACUGCAGUGCCACUUGACAGAGUGAGACUGACAGGCAGUCAGGCCCUGCCAAAGGCACCAUAGGAAGCUCCGCUCCGCCCGACCCAGGGCUCGGACUCGGGCUAAGUCCUGGAAGACGGCGAACUCCGCUCCGCCCGACCCAGGGCUCGGACUCGGGCUAGGUCCCGGAAGACGGCGAACUCCGCUCCGCCCGACCCAGGGCUCGGACUCGGGCUAGGACCCGGAAGACGGCGAACUCCGCUCCGCCCGACCCAGGGCUCGGACUCGGGCUAGGACCCGGAAGACGGCGAACUCCGCUCCGCCCGACCCAGGGCUCGGACUCGGGCUAGGACCCGGAAGACGGCGAACUCCGCUCCGCCCGACCCUAGGGCUCGGACUCGGGCUCAGCCCCGGAAGACGACGAACUCUGCUUCGUCCGACCCCAGGGCUCGGACUCCGCCCUGGCCUCUGCCGAACGACCUUCGCCUCGCCCGACCCAGGGGCUCGGGCUCGGCCUCGGCCAUGGAAGACAGACUCGACCUCGGCUUCGGAGGAGCCUCCACGUCGCCCAACCUAGGGCACAGGCCAGCCACGUCAACAGGAAGCGCCAUCAUCACCCUACCCCGAGCUGACUCGGGCCGCAGAGGACAAGACCGGUGUCCCAUCUGGCUUGCUCCGCCAGAUAGGCAAUGAUGGCGCCCCGCAUGCUCUGUGACGACGGCGGCUCUCAGCUCUCUUACGGAAGCAGGAGGACGUCAGCAAGGACUCAACCGCUCCGACAGCUGUCCCUCCGCCAGGCUCCGUCGCUCCUCCGACGGCCACGACAUCACACCAGCUGGGUGCCAAAAUCUCUCCGGCUGCCACAUCGGCAUGUACUUAGGGCGCUAGCUCUCCCCCGCUAGACACGUAGCACUCUGCUACACCCCCAUUGUACACCUGGAUCCUCUCCUUACGAUAUAAAAAGAAGGACCAGGGCCCUCUUAGAGAGGGUUGACCGCGCGGGGACGAGGACGGGACAGGCGCUCUCUUGGGGCCGCUCGCUUCCCUCUCCCGCGUGGACGCUUGUAACCCCCUACUGCAAGCGCACCCGACCUGGGCGCGGGACGAACACGAAGGCCACGGGAUUCCCACCUCUCUCACGCCGGUCGCCGGCCGCCUCGCUCCUUCCCCCCUUCGCGCUCGCCCACGCGCUCGACCCAUCUGGGCUGGGGCACGCAGCGACACUCACUCGUCGGCCCGAGGGACCCCCCGGUCUCGAAACGCCGACAGUUGGCGCGCCAGGUAGGGGCCUGCUGCGUGUUGACGAACAGCUUCCCGUCAAGCUCCAGAUGGGCAGUCUCCAGCAACCUCUCCGACCCGGGACGGUGCUCCGUUUCGGGAGUCUUGAGUUCAUGUCCUUCGACGGCAGCUACGACAUGAUACUCCUUCCACCGCCGCGCGACAACGACAAUGGCGGCCGACAGCCCGCCCGCUAGCGGCGGAAUCGACGACGUCUUCCCCGCGUGGUGGAAGAACAACAUUCGGGCUCGCCCCGUCCUCUCCCCCGCCAACGGAGGAGGAGGCGGGGCAACCAAGGCCAAGCGGGAGGCCGCGCCUCGUCGGCUGUCGAGCGAGUCGACGUCCCCAGCGCCCCAACGGGGGGCGCGUCGGGCGUCGACCUCGCGUUUGAGACGAAGGCGAGCGCCGUCUCCCCGCGACACGCCAAUCCCGAGCAAGCGGACGACGCCAGUGCGCUCGCGGAGAGCUUGCAGGACGUCGCCCUCGUACCUGAGACGACGGUGCAAUCAGUCCCCGACGUGACUAUGUCGCUGCUCGUCGACCGAAAGGUACCGACCGAUUCCCAUCCUACGUCAUUUGGACUCAGCCUCAACCCGCCUAGCGACCUUGCUUUGGCGGGCGCUCUCGUAGAGGCGAGUUCAAACCCUCUGGGGUUUCGCAUGCGGUCGCCUUGGGACCGGCUGACGGACGUCUCGACCUACGGGCCCUCUGGGUCCGAGGAAGAUGACGACCCCAACAUCUGUUGGGAUUUCUCUGGCUUUGGCAACCCCAGUGCCAUGCGGGACUUCAUGACCGCAUGUGACUACUGCCUCUCCGACUGUUCCGACGGUAGCCGCAGCCUCGACGACGAGGACUGCGGCCCAAGCCGCGAAUGUUUCCACGUCGAUCUAGGGGAUCCCUCCGAAGGCAAUCAUCUCGGCAUGCCGGAGGACGGUGAUCUCCCUGGGCCGGUGCCUCGCGCUGACAUCCCACGGGAGCUAGCUGUGGUCCCCGUUCCGGCGGGGGGUCACGACCCACAGCUCGAGCAAGUCCGCGGGGCGCAGGCCAGGCUCGACGAGGGAGCAGGAGCGCUUGAGCCGAUCCGCCGGGACAUCGGGCAGGCAUGGGCGGGCCAACCCCCGGCCGGAGAAAUACGUCACCUGCCCCAGGGUCUCCAGCACCGCGUCGCCGACAGCGUCAGGGUCAGGCCGCCACCCGCAUCCAGUGGGGUCGGUCAGAACCUGGCUGCAGCAGCGAUGCUUCUCCGCGCGAUGCCGGAGCCAUCAACCACCGAGGGUCGGCGAAUCCAGGGAGAGCUCAAGAAUCUCCUGGAAGGCGCUGUGGUCCGAUGGGCCGAGAGCUCUGCCUCUCGAAGGCAGGGAUACCCCUCGGAACCUCAUGCCGCGACUUCCCGAUUCAUGCGGGAAGCCUCGGUCUACACCGGGCGCACGCGCAACACCGCGCCUGCGGCCCCGGGCCACCUCGGCAACGAGCACCAUCAUCGCGACCGUCGGGCCCACCUAGACGAGAGGGUGCGCUGAGGUUACCACCCCAGGCGUGGGGGACGCUACGACAGCGGGGAGGAUCGGAGUCCCUCGCCCGAACCACCCGGUCCGCAGGCCUUCAGCCGGGCCAUCCGACGGGCACCAUUCCCGACCCGGUUCCGGCCCCCGACUACUAUCACAAAGUACUCGGGGGAAACGAGACCGGAACUGUGGCUCGCAGACUACCGCCUGGCCUGCCAACUGGGUGGAACAGACGACGACAACCUCAUCAUCCGCAACCUCCCCCUGUUCCUCUCCGACACCGCUCGCGCCUGGUUGGAGCACCUGCCUCCGGGGCAGAUCUCCAAUUGGGAUGACCUGGUCCAAGCCUUCGCCGGCAAUUUCCAGGGCACGUACGUGCGCCCCGGGAAUUCCUGGGACCUCCGAAGCUGCCGGCAGCAGCCGGGAGAGUCUCUCCGGGACUACAUCCGGCGAUUCUCGAAGCAGCGCACCGAACUGCCCAACAUCACUGACUCGGAUGUCAUCGGCGCGUUCCUUGCCGGCACCACCUGCCGCGACCUGGUGAGUAAGUUGGGUCGCAAGACCCCCACCAGGGCGAGCGAGCUGAUGGACAUCGCCACCAAGUUCGCCUCUGGCCAGGAGGCGGUCGAGGCUAUCUUCCGAAAGAACAAGCAGCCCCAGGGCCGCCCAUCGGAAGAUGCUCCCGAGGCGUCUACUCCGCGCGGCGCCAAGAAGAAAGGCAAGAAGAAGUCGCAAGCGAAACGCGACGCCGCCGACGCGGAUCUUGUCGCCGCCGCCGAGUACAAGAACCCUCGGAAGCCCCCCGGAGGUGCCAACCUCUUCGACAAGAUGCUCAAGGAGCCGUGCCCCUAUCAUCAGGGGCCCGUCAAGCCCACCCUUGAGGAGUGCGUCAUGCUUCGGCGCCACUUCCACAGGGCCGGGCCACCCGCGGAGGGUGGCAGGGCCCGCGACGACGACAAGAAGGAAGAUCACCAAGCAGGAGAGUUCACCGAGGUCCGCGACUGCUUCAUGAUCUAUGGUGGGCAUGCGGUGAAUGCCUCGGCUCGGCAUCGCAAGCAAGAGCGCCGGGAGGUCUGCUCGGUGAAGGUGGCGGCGCCAGUCUACCUAGACUGGUCCGACAAGCCCAUCACCUUCGACCAAGCUGACCACCCCGACCAUGUGCCAAGCCCAGGGAAAUACCCGCUCGUCGUCGACCCCAUCGUCGGCGACGUCAGGCUCACCAAGGUCCUUAUGGACGGGGGCAGCUGCCUCAACAUCAUCUACGCCGAGACCCUCAGGCUCCUGCGUGUCGAUCUGUCCUCCGUCCGAGCAGGCGCUGCGCCCUUCCACGGGAUCAUUCUCGGGAAGCGCGUCCAGCCCCUCGGACGACUCGACCUUCCCGUCUGCUUCGAAACGCCCUCCAACUUCCGAAGGGAGACUCUGACGUUCGAGGUGGUCGGGUUCCGAGGAACCUACCACGCGGUACUGGGGAGGCCAUGCUACGUGAAGUUUAUGGCCGUCCCCAACUACACCUACCUGAAGCUCAAGAUACCGGCCCCAACGGGGUCAUCACCGUCGGCCCCACGUACAAACACGCGUUCGAAUGCGACGUGGAGUGCGUGGAGUACGCCGAGGCCCUCGCCGAAUCCGAGGCCCUCAUCGCCGACCUGGAAAGCCUCUCCAAAGAGGUGCCAGACGUGAAGCGCCAUGCCGGCAACUUCGAGCCAGUGGAGACGGUCAAGGCCGUCCCCCUCGACCCCAGUGGCGACGCCUCCAAGCAGAUCCGGAUCGGUUCCGGGCUCGACCCCAAAUAGGAAGCAGUGCUCGUCGACUUUCUCCGCGCGAACGCCGACGUCUUCGCGUGGAGUCCCUCGGACAUGCCCGGCAUACCAAGGGAUGUCGCCGAGCACUCGCUGGAUAUCCGGGCCGGAGCCCGACCCGUCAAGCAGCCUCUGCGCCGAUUCGACGAGGAGAAGCGCAGAGUGAUAGGCGAGGAGAUCCACAAGCUAACGGCAGCCGGGUUCAUCAAAGAGGUAUUCCAUCCCGAAUGGCUUGCCAACCCUGUGCUUGUGAGAAAGAAAGGGGGGAAAUGGCGGAUGUGUGUAGACUACACUGGUCUCAACAAAGCAUGUCCGAAGGUUCCCUACCCUCUGCCUCGCAUCGAUCAAAUCGUGGAUUCCACUGCUGGGUGCGAAACCCUGUCUUUCCUCGACGCCUACUCAGGGUAUCACCAAAUCAGGAUGAAAGAGUCCGACCAGCUCGCGACUUCUUUCAUCACGCCCUUCGGCAUGUACUGCUAUGUCACCAUGCCGUUCGGUUUGAGGAAUGCGGGCGCGACGUAUCAGCGGUGCAUGAACCAUGUGUUCGGCGAACACAUCGGUCGCACGAUCGAGGCCUACGUCGAUGACAUCGUAGUCAAGACGAGGAAAGCUUUCGACCUCCUCUCCGACCUUGAAGUGACAUUCCGAUGUCUCAAAGCGAAAGGCGUCAAGCUCAAUCCCGAGAAGUGUGUCUUCGGGGUGCCCCGGGGCAUGCUCUUGGGGUUCAUCGUCUCCGAGCGAGGCAUCGAAGCCAACCCGGAGAAGAUCGCAGCCAUCACCAGCAUGGGGCCCAUCAAGGACUUAAAAGGCGUACAGAGGGUCAUGGGAUGUCUCGCGGCCCUGAGCCGCUUCAUCUCACGCAUCGGCGAAAGAGGCCUGCCUCUGUACCGCCUCUUAAGGAAGGCCGAGUGCUUCGCUUGGACCCCUGAGGUCGAGGAAGCUCUCGGGAACCUGAAGGCGCUCCUCACAAAGGCGCCUAUCUUGGUGCCUCCAGCUGACGGAGUGUGACACCCCAGUGUCACCUAGGGUUUCUCUCAAAUGCCAAACCAAGAACCAUUAUUUUAUGUGAACCAAAGUAAGCAUGAGCAUCAAAAUAACUUAAGUGAGAAAGAAUUCACCAAGUAUAUACUUAAAAGUGUCAUGAUCAAAACAAUUGAGUCCUUUAAAAGAUAAGAUUGUGCAACCCUAAUUAAAAACCCUAAAUGAGCCCCAUGGGCAAAAUUUAAGAAAAUAAGAAAAAGGGGAUGAAAAGUUUAAAAUUUUGAGUUGAGCCAAUUAUAAAAAUUAAAGUAUGUUUAUUAAGCAACAAGAAAGAUUGAGAAGGCUUAGCCAAAAUAACUCAAAUAAAUCCCCAAAUCAGCCCUUGAUCUAGGAACCCUUGGAGAAAUUCAGAUUUCUGAAUUUCUGAAUUUCAGACCUCUUCUCAAAGAUCAUCUGUGUUCUCUGUUUUUCAAAACUCAAAGCCAGAAGAUCCAAAUAUCAAAGUUGUGCCAAAUUCCUUUGAACACAUUCUGGGAAAGUUUGAACUCAAACCAAAUUCGUUUGGCAUGGUUUUGGCGCAACUUGACCUCGGGACCAGGCAUUCUGACACUGGCACCUUGGUGACGUUACAACUCCCUGUCCCUAGCCUAAAACCGCACGUCGUCCAUACACAAAAGACAAAGCUUGGUCUGGUGAACAAAUCCUUCACAACGAUCUUACCCAAAUUCGCGAAGAUUUGCUCCCAAUCGGCGCUUGAACAGGGGCAGAGGCAACGGGAACACGUGUUCGACCGUGGCUGACACCCCCGGUUCACGCCCGUUCGCGCACCACGCCUCCCAGUGCACGCCCGCGCGCACUCGCCGGUCCACGACCGCCCGUGCACCGCGCCGUGCCUAUAAAGCCUUCCCAGGCGCACCCCACUUCGCCCCGCACUCACCCUCACCGGCCAGCCCCCUUUCCCUUAGCUCCGGCAAGCUCAAUUCCGCCCGCCAUUGCCGCUAGAGCUUCGGCCACCAUGGCCAGCCCAUUCCAGCCAUCCUCUGGGCAAGCCAGUGCUUCGGCUAGCUCCGCUAGUAGCCCGUGAAGCUUGCCAAGCCCUCGGACCCGGCCGGACUUCACCGGAGGCCCAAGAUCGACCUCACCGGACUUCGGUCUUCCGCCGCCGCGCGUGGACCGAGCUAUCCAGUGAGUCUCCGCCCAAUUCCUUGCGCUCAUAGCUUCUCUGGCACCCCGUGGACCUCCCUGACCCUUUUGAUUGAACUAUCUCGCCGUGACCAGGCCGGUCUCCUCGCCGCCGACGAGCAUCCCCGCCUGCGCGCGUGGACCGACCGACUCCGGCCAUCUCCGACGGUGUUCCGCACACCGUUGUGAUCCCCGAGACCUCCCCUUCGUCCUCGACCGCUUCACCGGAGCAAUCUCGCCGCCGGUAAGCCCCUCCGCCCUUUUUUCCGCCGCGGUUACUGUUUAAGGUAGAAGAAGGACCUCGGGUUAGGAUUUGUAGAACCCGAGGGGUUUUCUGUAACGUCAGUGACUCAUGUGAAUAAUAGCUUAAGGACUGAUCCGCGAAGAAAACUUAAAAACCCGCCAGGGACCCCAGUGCAAAGUGGAUUUCCAUUUAAACCAAUUCAGUUAUUCUUUUUAAAAUAACCAGAGAACUUAGAAAAUCCAUAACUUGAUGAAAUCUUAAUAAAAAGUUGUCAAACCAAUUUUGCUAGCUCCUGUACCUUAUGAUCUAUCAUUUAAAAAUAGUAAACCCCAUGCUUUCUGUUCAAAUUUUAGAGUUUAAAAUUAAAAAACAGAAACCCACUAAACCUUGUUUAAUUAAGGAAAAUUAGUUUUUCUUCUGUGCUGAACUUAGGAAAAUUUGUAGAUGAUCAAACCCCUUUUAGACACUGUUUAAAAAUAAUGGGAACCCCAGCAUUGAAAAAUAUGAUAUAGUUUCUCAUUUAAAGAUGUUUUGUCCAAAACUUAGAGAAAAUCAGAGAGGCAUUAGAAAUUAAUGAACAGUGAUUAAGAUUAUUUUUCCUAGUUUACUUAUGUAACAGAGAACCUAGGAAAAAUACAGAGACCAUUAAUUUGGACCAGUUUUUAAUUAAGAUGAUUUAUUUAGCCUUAUAUAGACUGAAAAUCAAUUAUUAAAGAGGCAAAACUAUAACCAAAAUGCUUAAUAAAAAUCCAGUGGACUUAUAACCACCAGAGCCCCACUACAAAAAUACAGAGCACCCCAGCCCAACUCUUUAAGUAAGGAAAUUAAAUGCAAAGUGAUAAUAAGGCAUUUUCCAACUAAAUCAUGAACAACCCCAAAUAAUGUGAUAAUGGGCAACCAAAAAUUUGCUAAGUCCAUGAUGAGAUAAAUUACCAGAGAAAAAUGCAAACUCAUGAAAAAGAAGCAAACUCAUACCAAUUGCUAAUAAUUUAAGAGAAAGGCCACUUAAUUCAAAUAAUGCAUACCACCCCUUCCCUUAAGCAAAAAGAGGCCAAACUUCAGAAUGAUUGCUCUUGCACAAAAUAAUAACCAAGAAAAAUAAGAACUCUGUUAUUUGAUGUUUUUCAGAUAUAAUGGUAGUAGAAAGCACCCAUUUGGCUAGAAACUUGAGAAAACCAUAGGAAAAUAAUUAAAAGGUAUUAAUGACUAGAAAUUUGUAUCAAGUCAUGUUAUAACACCUAAAAGCCAGCAAAAAUGAGUUUUGAAGAAUUGCCCACUGUUAAAUAGUAGUUGUAGUUCAAAGCACCCCUUUUGCCCUAGAGUUUAAUAAUUUUGUCCAGAGAAAACUAUUCACUUUCUGAUCCCCAAAUUUUGAGGCAAAGAAACACACACCAGUACCCAGCCACUGUAAUUUUUGCAGAAUUUUUAGAAUUUUAUAAAAGCAACUUGUAGUUCAAACCUACCCCCAAAACCCUUAAGAGAAUAAAAGAAAAAGGAAGAAGAAGUAAACCUCACCCCAAUAAGUAUAACUUGAGAACUUAAUCAAUUCUCCCUAAGACUUAAAAAGAAUUCAGUGGAACCCCAAAAUUUAAUCUACUACUUACCUUAGCUAAGUCUAACCCAAUUUACCAAGUAUACCACCCAAGGGUCUUACAUAACUAAAGUUAACCUUGUUUAACUCAAGUAGAUCAUACACCUCCAAAAGUUGUAAUUUCUAAAAGCACAUAUCAUAUCAUGCAUAUAUCUUACGCAUUGCAUUCAUUAGAUUGUAACCUCGCCGACGGAGAGUACGUGCUCAUCCCCGAGCAAGGACCUGUCCAAGAGGAGGACCAGGAGCAGGCUUCAGAGGCUGCUAUUGAGGAUCUCCCCGCAGCCCCAGCAAUUGAAG
rnacentral:lncRNA from 1 species